rnacentral:rRNA from 1 species
UACGGAGGGGGCUAGCGUUGUUCGGAAUUACUGGGCGUAAAGCGCACGUAGGCGGCUUUGUAAGUUAGGGGUGAAAGCCCGGAGCUCAACUCCGGAAUUGCCUUUAAGACUGCAUCGCUCGAAUCAUGGAGAGGUGAGUGGAAUUCCGAGUGUAGAGGUGAAAUUCGUAGAUAUUCGGAAGAACACCAGUGGCGAAGGCGACUCACUGGACAUGUAUUGACGCUGAGGUGCGAAAGCGUGGGGAGCAAACAGG